AUGAACGCUGGCGGCGUGGAUAAGGCAUGCAAGUCGAACGCUCUAAGACCGCAAGGUUUUAGAGAGUGGCGAACGAGUUAGUAACACCUUGGUACAUAGCCCAGAGUCGGGCACAACCCCGCGAAAGCAGGGCUAAUUCCCGAUAGUAUGGCGACAUUAAAGGCGCAAGCCGCUUUGGGAGUGGCCUAGGUCCUAUCAGCUUGUUGGCGGGGUAAAAGCCCACCAAGGCUAUGACGGGUAGGGGGCGUGAGAGCGCGUUCCUCAACGACGACACUGAGAUACGGGUCGUACACCUACGGGUGGCAGCAGUCGAGAAUAUUCGACAAUGGGCGAAAGCCUGAUCGAGCGACGCCGCGUGCAGGAAGAAGUCCUUCGGGAUGUAAACUGCUUUUGCGUGGGAAAAAUUUUGAUGGUACCACGAGAAUAAGGGGUUGCUAACUCUGU
rnacentral:rRNA from 1 species